GUAUAGGCAGAACUGAAAUUCCAGGACCUCAGCAGAAAUUCAGUCUUCCAGACAAUGAGGGCAUUCAAAAAUCCAGAGGCUCUUCCUUUGGAAAGAGUUUGUAAGACUGAGAUGUCUGCCAGAGAAAUUCCAGGAUCCUCUAAAGACUUUCAGGUCCAAGUUCAGUGAAGGUUCCUGAUGUUGCUGACCUACAAGCAGAAGUCCACAAUUGCACCUUGAAGAAGAAUCUCUGUCCUUAAACUGAACGUCUAUGUUCCACACCCAGUGCCUAAGGAGCACCUUUCAGAACAAGAGCAUGAAGAGCCCGUAGUUAUCUGUAAGAUGACAACAAAAUUCAGGUUGCUGAUUGGAUGCUGUGCUAUACUUAAAGAACACAGGUGUCCACAUAUCUCCAUAGUGCUGUGAAGAUAUACUCCAUAUCUCCCAUAUCUGAUCAUAAUUCAAAACCAAAAUUGCUAACUAAAUCAAGAAACUGCUAAAAUACUUAUUUCAUAAAUCAGUGAGAAAACAUGGUGUCCUGGUUUCAGUUAGGGUGGAGUUAAUUUCUUCUCAGCAGCUUUUAUGUGCUGCAGUCAAGAUGAGAAGAAAGAUGCAACAGCCAAAGGGGUUCAAACAGAUAGCUCUAAGCAGCUAUCGCAAUUUAUUGGGGGUGGUUGGCUCUAUUUAUAGGGUCUGGUAGGAAGGUUCUGGAAAGCAGGGAGGAGUAUAGGACUGACGGGGUGACAAUCAAUCAGGAAAGGAAGGAGAGAACAUAGGAUCAGCAGGGACCAGUGAGGGAAACAUCUGCAAUGCUGUAAACCUUAACCAGUGAAAAAAUAGGGGAUAAAUGUGAGGGGAAAAAAUACAAUAAAAUCCGGUAAAAACUGGGGUACAACAAAUAUGAAACUUACAUUAACAAUUCUGAUCUGUCUUUGUCAAUUCAACAGUCUCUACCUUAAUAAAAUAAUGUUGUGUGUCUUCAAAGCGUAUCUUCAUAUGCAGUUGCCUCAGCCAUAAUUUGCAGCCGCUUUUUCAAUUCAAUAAACUUCUCUCUCUUCAUCCAUGCCUUCCAAAACUGCAAUACUGUGUUUUGGAUUCAAAAUGAGAACAGUAUUGAUAACCCACUGAUGUUUUAGUUUAUUGCUAAAAUGUGUUUAUUCUAAGUUGAGGACUUUUUUUCUUGUUUAAUGCUCUGAAAGAAACUGUGAGGGAGCAUAGCUGGAACACAUGACCAGAACCGACCAAAGGGAUAUUCCACACCAUAGAA